GACGAACGCUGGCGGCGUGCUUAACACAUGCAAGUCGAGCGAGAAAGCUCCUUCGGGAGUGAGUACAGCGGCGAACGGGUGAGUAACACGUGGGCAACCUGCCUCAGGGAGCGGGACAACCCGGGGAAACUCGGGCUAAUACCGCAUGAUUCGCAUCGGCUCAAGCCGAUGCGGGAAAAGGUAGCUUAGGCCUCCGCCCUGAGAUGGGCCCGCGGCCGGUGUAGCUUGUUGGUGAGGUAACGGCUCACCAAGGCGACGAUCGGUAGCUGGUCUGAGGGGACGAUCAGCCACACUGGGACUGCGACACGGCCCAGACUCCUACGGGAGGCAGCAGUGGGGAAUCUUGCGCAAUGGGCGAAAGCCUGACGCAGCAACGCCGCGUGGAGGAAGACGGCUUUCGGGUUGUAAACUCCUUUCAGGAGGGACGAAGCUUCCGGGGUUAAUAGCCUACGGGGUGACGGUACCUCCAGAAGAAGCCCCGGCUAACUACGUGCCAGCCGCCGCCGUAA
rnacentral:rRNA from 1 species